ensembl:lncRNA
UACUGUCAAAUUAGCUUUAGUUGCUGCACUGUGAAUAGCUAGUACCAGCUCAUAACAGCUAGUAACCAAUCUUAACUGUGCUGACUCAAGCUGUGGACACAGAGCUUUGAAAAAGUGUCUUUUUCUUUUCAGGACCUGCAAACUUGUUGAAAUGGCUGCUUGUGUAUUAGCAUUUAGGUUCUUCAUGUAUGAACUCUCAGACUCUUUCCUGGACUUGCCCCUCUGUCUAAUCCAAGGAAACAACUCCAGUCCACCUCUCAGCAGGUCACAGCUAAGCUGUCGACAGCCGGGUUUAGUUUUAACCACAUGUGACUUGUAGAAACUAGAGGAUCUUACUUUUCAACUAAAGCCUCGUCCAUUCUGGACAUCAGACGUUUUUCUGUGAAACCUGCUGCACACAGGCAAAGGUUCAGUAAAAAGAGGUGGAAGCUGAAUAACCCCCACCCUAGAUGAAGCACCACUACCCUGGUGGAUGUUAAAGGGUUAAAAUACUGCCUCUGAUUCCUGGUGCCUUGCUCUUGGGUGACUGUUACACCGUCAGCGCUGCAGACAGGAUGAUCUGAGUGAUCUGAGCAGCAGAGUACGGACAGACUGCAAACGUUCACCUAAAACACAGAAGCUAAAAGCUAAAAGCUAAAAGCUUUUUAAGAACGUAGUGAAACCUGCAGAUGUGACUCCUGUUUUCUGUCUUUGUACUCGGCUGUAACUCAGACAAUACUGACUCAGCACAGAAGCAUUUAUAUCAAUCAUCACUCACAUUGACAGAACACACAAAGAGCGAUGCUGAUAAUCCCCACGAUGACGGUAAUGAUGACGAUGACAGCGAUGCCACCUUUAAAAAAACACAAUAAAAAGAGCGUGGUGUUAGUUUUACUGAUCACGUCUGUCGGUGUGCAGAGGCUUGUUCUGCUCCGAGGACACAGCAGAAGAAACAAAGAUGACUGAGCCUUCUAGAAACAUUUGAUCAGAUUAUCCUGAUGCCCUACAGGAGAACAUCGGUGUUAUUGUUAGUGAUUGGACACCCCUGGUUCCAUCAUUACACAAGCUGGUAUUAGAUCAGAUCUAACAUGAAUGUAAAGUUUAUUAUAUCUAAUAAAAAUGUACAAUAAGAAUAAAUAAAGUUUGGCAGUUACACUCUGUGA